rnacentral:rRNA from 1 species
GAUGAACGCUAGCGGCAGGCUUAACACAUGCAAGUCGAGGGGUAUAGUUCUUCGGAACUAGAGACCGGCGCACGGGUGCGUAACGCGUAUGCAACCUACCUUUUGCAGAGGGAUAGCCCAGAGAAAUUUGGAUUAAUACCUCAUAGUAUGUGAGAAUGGCAUCAUUUUCACAUUAAAGUCACAACGGCAAAAGAUGAGCAUGCGUCCCAUUAGCUAGUUGGUAAGGUAACGGCUUACCAAGGCAACGAUGGGUAGGGGUUCUGAGAGGAAGGUCCCCCACACUGGUACUGAGACACGGACCAGACUCCUACGGGAGGCAGCAGUGAGGAAUAUUGGUCAAUGGACGCAAGUCUGAACCAGCCAAGUAGCGUGAAGGAUGAAGGUUCUAUGGAUUGUAAACUUCUUUUAUAUGGGAAUAAAAUCAUCUACGUGUAGAUGCCUGUAUGUACCAUAUGAAUAAGGACCGGCUAACUCCGUGCCAGCCGCCGCGGUAAGAC